rnacentral:rRNA from 1 species
CAGUAGCCGCGGGAAUACGAAGGGUGCAAGCGUUAAUCGGAAUUACUGGGCGUAAAGCGUGCGCAGGCGGUUAUAUAAGACAGAUGUGAAAUCCCCGGGCUCAACCUGGGACCUGCAUUUGUGACUGUAUAGCUAGAGUACGGUAGAGGGGGAUGGAAUUCCGCGUGUAGCAGUGAAAUGCGUAGAUAUGCGGAGGAACACCGAUGGCGAAGGCAAUCCCCUGGACCUGUACUGACGCUCAUGCACGAAAGCGUGGGGAGCAAACAGGAUUAGAUACCCGAGUAGUCCCUGUCUCUUAUAC